rnacentral:RNase_P_RNA from 1 species
GGAGCCGGCCAGACAGUCGCGUCAUCGGAAACGAUGCCGAGGAAAGUCCGGGCUCCACAGGGCACGGUGCCAGGUAACGCCUGGGCGGCGCGAGCCGACGGAAAGUGCAACAGAAAGAUACCGCCGAACGGCAUCGCGAGAUGCGCGUGGCAAGGGUGAAAUGGUGCGGUAAGAGCGCACCGCGAGUCGGGCAACCGACCGGCACGGCAAACCCCACCGGGAGCAAGGCCAAAUAGGGAAGCGAUGUCGUGGCCCGCGACGCUUCCGGGUAGGCUGCUCGAGCGUAUCGGCGACGGUGCGCCUAGAGGAAUGACUGUCGCGGCGCGCAAGCGUCGAACAGAACCCGGCUUAUCGGCCGACUUCGCCU